rnacentral:ribozyme from 14 species
AUCGAUUGUUUCUUGUUCGUCCAUUUCCAUACUAUUAUUUCUUCUGUGUUGUUCUUCUUGUUCUCCUCGUAAUAUUCAUU